rnacentral:rRNA from 1 species
UACGGGGGGGGCAAGCGUUGUUCGGAAUUACUGGGCGUAAAGGGUUCGUAGGUGGCUCGCUAAGUCAGACGUGAAAUCCCUCAGCUUAACUGGGGAACUGCGUCUGAGACUGGCGAGCUUGAGUGCAGGAGAGGAACGCGGAAUUCCAGGUGUAGCGGUGAAAUGCGUAGAUAUCUGGAGGAACACCGGUGGCGAAGGCGGCGUUCUGGACUGCAACUGACACUGAGGAACGAAAGCCAGGGGAGCAAACGGG